rnacentral:lncRNA from 1 species
GUGACAUCCAGUCACCCAGUCUCCAUCCACACUGUCUGCAUCUGUAAGGAGACAGCGUCACCAUCACUUGCCGGGCGAGUCAGAGCAUUGGUAGUAAUUUAGACUGGUAUCAGCAGAAACCAGGGAAGGCCCCUAAGGGCCUGAUCUAUGCUGCAUCCAGUUUGCAAUCUGGGGCUCCUUCGCGGUUCGGUGGCAGUGGAUCUGGGACAGAUUUUACUCUCACCAUCAGAAUCCUGCAGCCUAAAGAUGUUGCAACUUAUUACUGUCAACA